ACGGGAGGCAGCAGUGGGGGAUAUUGCACAAUGGGGGAAACCCUGAUGCAGCGACGCCGCGUGAGUGAAGAAGUAUUUCGGUAUGUAAAGCUCUAUCAGCAGGGAAGAAAAUGACGGUACCUGACUAAGAAGCUCCGGCUAAAUACGUGCCAGCAGCCGCGGUAAUACGUAUGGAGCAAGCGUUAUCCGGAUUUACUGGGUGUAAAGGGAGCGUAGGCGGGAUGGCAAGUCAGAUGUGAAAACUAUGGGCUCAACCCAUAGACUGCAUUUGAAACUGUUGUUCUUGAGUGAAGUAGAGGUAAGCGGAAUUCCUAGUGUAGCGGUGAAAUGCGUAGAUAUUAGGAGGAACAUCGGUGGCGAAGGCGGCUUACUGGGCUUUUACUGACGCUGAGGCUCGAAAGCGUGGGGAGCAAACAGGAUUAGAUACCCUGGUA
rnacentral:rRNA from 1 species